AUGGCUCAGGAUGAACGCUAGCGACAGGCCUAACACAUGCAAGUCGAGGGGCAUCGCGGGAGAAGCUUGCUUUCCUGGCGGCGACCGGCGCACGGGUGCGUAACAGGUGUGCAAUCUGUCCAUAGUCGGGGGGAUAGCCCAGCGAAAGCUGAAUUAACACUCCAUGUGAAUCGAAGCCGCAUGACUUUGAUUUGAAACGCAAGGACUAUGGGUGAGCACGCUUCUGAUUAGCUAGUUGGUGGGGUAACGGCUCACCAAGGCGACGAUCAGUAGGGGUUCUGAGAGGAAGGUCCCCCACAUUGGAACUGAGACACGGUCCAAACUCCUACGGGAGGCAGCAGUGAGGAAUAUUGGUCAAUGGGCGAGAGCCUGAACCAGCCAAGUCGCGUGAAAAGGAUGAAGGUUCUAUGGAUUGUAAACUUCUUUUGUCCGAGGGUAAAGGAGUCCACGUGUGGAUUUUUGCAAGUAUCGGACGAAUAAGCAUCGGCUAACUCCGUGCCAGCAGCUGC
rnacentral:rRNA from 1 species